rfam:Triticum aestivum genome assembly, contig: Triticum_aestivum_CS42_TGACv1_scaffold_641666_T_1BS-0.278637_1BL-0.173836
UUGGUACUCUCUCCGUCCGCAAAUACUUGUCAUCAAAAUGAAUAAAAGGGGAUGUAUCUAGACUAUGUAUCUAGACGUAUAUUAGUUCUAGAUACAUCUUUUGUUAUCCAUUUUGAUGACAAGUAUUUUCGAACGGAGGGAGUACAAC